rnacentral:rRNA from 1 species
UUUCCUACGGGGCGCAGCAGUGGGGGAUAUUGCACAAUGGGGGAAACCCUGAUGCAGCGACGCCGCGUGAGUGAAGAAGUAUUUCGGUACGUAAAGCUCUAUCAGCAGGGAAGAAAAAUGACGGUACCUGACUAAGAAGCCCCGGCUAACUACGUGCCAGCAGCCGCGGUAAUACGUAGGGGGCAAGCGUUAUCCGGAUUUACUGGGUGUAAAGGGAGCGUAGACGGCUGUGCAAGUCUGAAGUGAAAUGCCGGGGCCCAACCCCGGAACUGCUUUGGAAACUGUACAGC